rnacentral:miRNA from 1 species
UGGUUACCUUACGAACGUAUUUUAAAAUAACCAUUGUAAUAGCAUUUCUGCAGAAAUGCUAUUACAAUGGUUAUUUUAAAAUACGUUCGUAAGGUAACCA